CAAGGAUGAACCAUCCAACAGGGCUCACAGUCGAUAGCAAGGGUAGCGUGUAUUCUAAUGUUCAAGCUUCAGCAAGAUGAUUUCCCAGUGGAUACUCAUGUUUUUAGGAUAAUGAGGGACAUUGGUUGGAUCCCCAUUAAAGCAAACAAAGAGCAAGCAUAUAUCCACCUCAAUAAUAGAAUACCUAAUCAUUUGAAGUUUGACCUGAAUUAUCUUCUUGUAACUCAUGGAAGAUUUUUGUCACAGGUGUUCUGUUAGAAGAGGUAAUUAGAACACGGGAGAUGGUCCACAGGUUUCCUGCCCUCUCACACAGUACUGUACGAGGCCAAUCAACCUGUCAUAGUAGACCAGUGCUUCAAGAUGUUAAGCAUGGUCUGCCAAUUCGUGAGGCGGCUUGAGUUUUUUUUAUGCAAGAAGUGAGCUUUGUUAGAUGUAGCUUGCCUUGCUAUUUUGUAAAUUAAAAUCCAUAUGAAGAACAGCAAAGGGAAAACAUGUGAUUUAGUGUAUAUGGAGAGUAAUGGAAAACAUAUGUAUUUUGAUGAGUAACAACUCAU